UCCUCGUUAGUAUAGUGGUGAGUAUCCCCGCCUGUCACGCGGGAGACCAGGGUUCGAUUCCCCGACGGGGAG
rfam:Ciona savignyi cont_31643, whole genome shotgun sequence.